CGGGGGCCUGGAGUGGGGCAGGGUGGGCGUUCAAUGAAAGGUUGAUGAGUGAACAGAAGGACGGUCAGCCUUUCACGUCAAGCCCUUCAGUUAUGUAAGACCCAUGACCCCUUCUAAGAAGCAUGCAGUGAAGGUGAUGGGGAGGAAGCUUGCUCUUCGGAAGCCUUUAGAAUUAGGACAGGAAAACAGUUCUUGGAGUUAGGAGAAAAGAGGACGUAGAAAGGAGUCUGAAGAGCUAAGCUGGUCUCCAGACAUGAGCCAAAGGCCCCACAGAUGUUCAGGCUUCUGGUGGGGAGUGGGGAUGGGGGUGGGAAGGGCAAGAGGCAGCUGGCUUUCCACAGGUCUGAACUCUGCAUGGCCCUGCCCACCCCGGUGAGGACAUCCCCACCAGGGUGAGGACACCCUUGCCAAACCUUGCUCUGCUCCCCGCUAGAGCCAGGGCUCCAGAAGCCCCCAUGCCCCGAGGACACGGCUGUGAGCCAGCUGCCACUUGGGCUCCUAUGUGGUCAGGCCCUGCUUGUGUCAAUUCUUGGACAAGAAUGCUCAUCCUGGUCUCCUGGGGAAGUCUGCAGGGAAGGUCCUUGGCUUAACCCCAGGAUCCCCACUCCUGGCACAUCCCUGGCACACAACACACGCUGCUUCUGCACAGUGCACGGCAUGAGCCCUGCUCAGGGGUAUAGUUGGCUGAGGGGCGGUCUCCCCCAGCUUGCCCACAAAGGGUGGAGCACCUGUCCACUCUGGGUUCAUGGAGAUGUGUGCAUGUCUCUUUCUCAACAGCUGUGGGACCUUGUGCAAAUGACUUAACCUCUCUGAGUCUCCGCUUCCCCGCUGCCUAAUUGGAAACAAAACCUUCCAUGUGAGGUUGCCGAGGGGAGGGGCAGUGUGUGUGUGUGUGUGUGUGUGCACGUGUGCUGCAAUAACACAUGUGAAGUGCCAGCCACUCUGACUCAAAAGAAUUCCUUUCCCUCAGAACUGACCUGAUACUCCACUCUUGCCAGUCAAUGAUCAUGGCUCAGUCAGUAUUUAUGGGCACCCCGCCACAUGCUGCGCUUAAUUAUGGAGGAGACCACACUCCAGGAAGAACUGGACGCCAGGGCGAGUACUGCUGGUGAAGGCUCGGAGUUUGUGGUUAGUCAACGCGUGCCAUUUCUGGCUGCCUGGCCAGAAACUACCCUCCAGGACAGAGAACCCCCAGCAGACAAGAUUCUUGCCCUCACAAGAGCAGCAAACAUGUCAACAAACGGGCCAUGAGGUGACGCGGGCAGGUGCUCAGGGAGGCCUCGGGAGGGACAUCUGAGCUGAAGAGAGGAUGUCCCUGGCGUUCCUUCAGGACAGACACCUUUCUUCCUUUUGUCUGUCUCUCUAGCACCAGAACACAGAGCCCCGCACCCAGGAGGGGCUCAGUAAAUGUUUGCUAAGUGGAUGACAGCUCCAAAGGAGCGGUCCACUCUCACAGGCUGUGUCAACGACAGAAAUAUUACAAAACAGAAGCUAACACUGAAAUCAUUCAUGUUUCCAUUUAGAAUCAUUUAGCAUUUAGGGGCGCCUGGGUGGCUCAGUCGAUCAGACGUCCGACUUCGGCUCAGGUCAUGAUCUUGCAGUUCGUGGGUUUGAGCCCCUCAUCGGGCUUUGUGCUGACGUCUCAGAGCCU